AACGAACGCUGGCGGCAUGCCUAACACAUGCAAGUCGAACGAGAUCUUCGGGUCUAGUGGCGCACGGGUGCGUAACGCGUGGGAAUCUGCCCUUUGGUUCGGAAUAACGGUUGGAAACGACUGCUAAUACCGGAUGAUGACGAAAGUCCAAAGAUUUAUCGCCAGAGGAUGAGCCCGCGUAGGAUUAGCUAGUUGGUGUGGUAAAGGCGCACCAAGGCGACGAUCCUUAGCUGGUCUGAGAGGAUGAUCAGCCACACUGGGACUGAGACACGGCCCAGACUCCUACGGGAGGCAGCAGUGGGGAAUAUUGGACAAUGGGCGAAAGCCUGAUCCGGCAAUGCCGCGUGAGUGAUGAAGGCCUUAGGGUUGUAAAGCUCUUUUACCCGGGAUGAUAAUGACAGUACCGGGAGAAUAAGCUCCGGCUAACUCCGUGCCAGCCGCCGCAGUAA
rnacentral:rRNA from 1 species